rnacentral:tRNA from 1 species
UGGGAUUGUGGCUCAGCGGUAGAGCGCUGGCUUAGCACACGUGAGGCCCUGGGUUCAAUCCUCAGCACAUAA